rnacentral:rRNA from 1 species
AACGAACGCUGGCGGAGGCUAACACAUGCAAUGUCGAGCGCGCCUUCGGGUGAGCGGCGGACGGGUUAGUAACGCGUGGGAACGUGCCCUUCUCUACGGAAUAGCCUCUGGAAACGGAGAGUAAUACCGUAUACGCCCUUUGGGGGAAAGAUUAUCGGAGAAGGAUCGGCCCGCGUUAGAUUAGGUAGUUGGUGGGGUAACGGCCUACCAAGCCUACGAUCUAUAGCUGGUUUUAGAGGAUGAUCAGCAACACUGGGACUGAGACACGGCCCAGACUCCUACGGGAGGCAGCAGUGGGGAAUCUUAGACAAUGGGGGCAACCCUGAUCUAGCCAUGCCGCGUGAGUGAUGAAGGCCUUAGGGUCGUAAAGCUCUUUCGCCUGUGAUGAUAAUGACAGUAGCAGGUAAAGAAACCCCGGCUAACUCCGUGCCAGCAGCCGCGGUAAUACGGAGGGGGUUAGCGUUGUUCGGAAUUACUGGGCGUAAAGCGCGCGUAGGCGGAUUAGUCAGUCAGAGGUGAAAUCCCAGGGCUCAAACCUGGAACUGGCUUUGAUACUGCUAGUCUUGAGUUCGAGAGAGGUGAGUGGAAUACCGAGUGUAGAGGUGAAAUUCGUAGAUAUUCGGAGGAACACAGUGGAGAAAGCGGCUC